UCUGAACUUCCCACUGUAUGUGGGGCCCUGUGCUAGACUUUGGGAAGACGACAAUGAACGAAACAGGCAGUCUGUUUCUUUGGGUGACGGACGUGUACAUGAGUAGUUCAACUCGCAACGGCCAAGUCCUGGACCAAGACGUGCUGAGUACACAGAAUCCCCGGGAGCCACCAGAGGAAGCCCUCUGCCUUCCUCGGAAUGGGCACAUGAGAGGGCUUGUACAGAAGUUCAAAGAUGGAUUACCAUCUGCCACGCGUUAGGCUCCGUUCUUGGGGUUAGAGAUGUAGCGGAGAAUGAAGAUCUGUGUUCACGAAGUUGGCACGCACUCCUUCCUACCUGUUUGCUUAUUGAACGCCGGGCCACUGUCUCAAGUGAACGGGGGACAUCUGAUUACCCUCUUUGGCAGAAGAGGAAAGGUAAGACUUAGAGAAGCGGAGUGAUUUGCUGAGGUCUCCAGCCGGCACGUGGUAGAGCGGGGUU
rnacentral:lncRNA from 1 species